rnacentral:rRNA from 1 species
GAUGAACGCUGACAGAAUGCUUAACACAUGCAAGUCGAUGGGGAAGUGGUGCUUGCACCAUGGUAACCAUGGCGGACGGGUGAGUAACGCGUAAGGAACUUGCCUGCGGGACUGGGAUAACAGCAGGAAACUGCUGAUAAUACCGGAUAAGGUCAUUAAGCUGCAUAGCUUAGUGAUGAAAGGAGACGCCUGCGGAGAGCCUUGCGUCCUAUUAGCUAGUUGGAGAGGUAACGGCCCACCAAGGCGAAGAUAGGUAGCCGGCCUGAGAGGGUGGACGGCCACAAGGGGACUGAGAUACGGCCCUUACUCCUACGGGAGGCAGCAGUGGGGAAUAUUGGACAAUGGGGGCAACCCUGAUCCAGCAAUUCUGUGUGCACGAAGACGGUUUUCGGAUUGUAAAGUGCUUUCAGCAGGGAAGAAGGAAGUGACGGUACCUGCAGAAGAAGCGACGGCUAAAUACGUG